rnacentral:lncRNA from 1 species
GGGGGAGGACUGGGGGCCCCAGCAGGAAGUGAGCAGGCGUGCCCGGCUGCAGGGUGGCAGAAGUCCUGGCUCCUGACCCAGUCCUCCCCGACCCUCCAUGUGCACUGGCAGUGGGGUUCACCCACUCCACCCCUUGGCCACGAGCUCUGAGGACAGCAGCUGGUCAGGCCAUGCUGACCUGGACCUUGGGCCCCAGGUAGGCCUGGCCACUGUGCAAGCAGGAGACGGGGCUCAGAGUGACAGCACACGGCCCACCCUCCUCAUGCCUUGGGUCCCAUCCGUGAGCAGACAACUCUGGAAGCAGUGCUCCGAGGGUCCCUCAGCUCUGGAAGCUCCAGGUCCUGCCAGAUGAGAGCCAGAGCCUGAGGGAGGGAGAGGCGGCCAUGUUUGCACCCGGAACGCCCCGUUACCAUCACCCUGGCAGAAGGGCCUGGGCAGAGGCAGCUGGCUUGCUCCACGCGGAUGUUCCUGUGACUUAAACUACCGAGGUUGCGGCAGCACUUUGGAAAUGUGAAAGAAAAAAGAAAAACAUGUACAACACACACAAGAUGAUAAAAAUCACCAGGAGUCCCUCUGGGCAGGGCAGCUGUGGGUUCUGAGGCAGACCUUCCCAGGCUGCCUUUCCCGGCUCAUUUAUUUUGUGUCUCCCUCAGUCAUUCCCAAGCAAUCACCC